CGCAUCCAGCCCACGGGCUGCGAAUUUGACUCUCCUGUUCUAGAUAAUUCUGAAAGCAGCCACUCAAGGUUAAGGACUAAGCUCCCAGCUCCAAACUCCAUCAAAGAAUACAUGAAAUUCGAAGAAAAUGCACAAAUGGGAGACAUUCAACCAAUCAGCGGCUUACAAAAAUACUGAAGACAGGUGGACACAAAUGUCUGUGUUGGAAGAAAACUCAUAUGGAAACAUGAAACUAAAAUAAAAUUUGAAAUAUUAAAAACUAAUUGAAACCACA